UACGUAGGGUGCAAGCGUUGUCCGGAAUUAUUGGGCGUAAAGAGCUCGUAGGCGGUCUGUCGCGUCGGCUGUGAAAACCCGAGGCUCAACCUCGGGCCUGCAGUCGAUACGGGCAAACUAGAGUACUGCAGGGGAGACUGGAAUUCCUGGUGUAGCGGUGAAAUGCGCAGAUAUCAGGAGGAACACCGGUGGCGAAGGCGGGUCUCUGGACAGUUCCUGACGCUGAGACGCGAAAGCGUGGGGAGCAAACAGG
rnacentral:rRNA from 1 species